ensembl:snRNA U2 U2 spliceosomal RNA
AUUGCUUCUCAGCCUUUUGGCUAAGAUCAAGUGUAGUACAUUUUUUGGCAGACUCUACAUAUCUACAUAUAUAAUGUAUAAUGAUUAGAUAAGGGUAAUUGGCAUCUAUAUUUCCUCAGGCAUAUAUCAUUUCCUUGUGAUGAGAACAUUCAAA